rnacentral:piRNA from 1 species
UGGCAGGCUGGACCCAAUGAUCUCUCA